CCUACGGGUGGCAGCAGCAGGGAAUCUUGCGCAAUGGACGGAAGUCUGACGCAGCGACGCCGCGUGGGUGAAGACGGCCUUCGGGUUGUAAAGCCCUUUUCUGGAGGAAGAGGGAGGACGGUACUCCAGGAAUAAGUGUCGGCUAACUACGUGCCAGCAGCCGCGGUAAUACGUAGGACACGAGCGUUAUCCGGAUUUACUGGGCGUAAAGCGCCUGUAGGCGGUUCUUCAAGUCGUUUGUGAAAGCCCUGGGCUCAACCUGGGGAGGCCAAGCGAUACUGGAGGACUUGAGGGUGACAGAGGGGAGUGGAAUUUCCGGUGUAGCGGUAAAAUGCGCAGAUAUCGGGAGGAACACCAGUGGCGAAGGCGGCUCCCUGGGUCACACCAGACGCUGAGAGGCGAAAGCUAGGGGAGCGAACAGGAUUAGAUACCCCGGUAGUCG
rnacentral:rRNA from 1 species